UUUACCCUUGAUGUGGAUUGUCUGUGAUAUGAUGCGCAUUCCAUGAGAUCAUGUUUUAAUGAUAUGUUUUACUGUUCUACUCACUGGGCUAUAGAGCUCAUCCCACUCCCUUAACCCCAGUCUUGCAGGUUCCGUGUACAGUGUACAGAGGAGAUCAGCUGAAUACAGAAAGAAUAAAGAGAUUUGUAAUAGCUUAGAGUGGACAUGUAGUAUUAAAGAGAUG
rnacentral:lncRNA from 1 species